GACGAACGCUGGCGGCGUGCUUAACACAUGCAAGUCGAACGAUGAAGAAGAGAAACGCGAACUUCGGUUCAAAUUUCACUUCGGAUUAGUGGCAGACGGGUGAGUAACGCGUGAGCAACCUACCUCUUACAAAGGGAUAGCCUCGGGAAACCGUGAUUAAUACCAUAUGACACAUUCAUAAGGCAUCUUAAGAAUGUUAAAGCUACGGCGGUAAGAGAUGGGCUCGCGUCCCAUUAGCUAGUUGGUGAGGUAACGGCCAACCAAGGCGACGAUGGGUAACCGGCCUGAGAGGGUGAACGGUCACAUUGGAACUGAGACACGGUCCAAACUCCUACGGGAGGCAGCAGUGGGGAAUAUUGCACAAUGGAGGGAACUCUGAUGCAGCGACGCCGCGUGAGCGAUGAAGGAAUUCGUUUCGUAAAGCUCUGUUCUAUGGGAAGAAAAGGACUGUACCAUAGGAGAAAGCCCCGGCUAAAUACGUG
rnacentral:rRNA from 1 species